GGAAGAAAUUCUUCACUCAGAGGCCAGUGAGGCCCUGGCACAGGCUGCCCAGAGAAGCUGUGGAUGCCCCAUCCCUGGAGGUGUUCAAGGCCAGGCUGGAUGGGGCUUUGGGCAACCUGGUCUGGUGGGAGGUGUCCCUGCCCAUGGCAGGGGGUUGAAAUUAGAUAAUCUGUAAGGUCUCUUCCAACCCAAAUCAUUCUGUGAUCCUAAGAACACACAAAAGUCACUGGUAUUCAUCAUAAGCUGAAUUGUUCCCUAAUAUAAUUUGCUCUUUAAAAUGCAUAUUUUUUUCCAUUUAAAUUUCUUUGGCUCUAUUUUUUAACUGUUAGAUUUUAUUAUGCUUCUUUCUGCAUAAAAUGGGUCACUAAAAUAGAAUCAGGACAUUUAUUCUUGAAUAGAUUAGGGUCAGGUCAUCUCUAAGACUGUAAUUUCAUUGUCAUUCUUUUCUACAGCGGCCCUAACCCUUCCAACCAGCUGUUUUUGUACCCACACCAAAUAAAUGGUUCUGAUGGGUGAAUAUAAGUUAAAAAUUAAACAGAGAACAGCACAAUAACGUGAAGGAACAGCCAGAAAUGAGAAUGGGCUUUUUAAGCUGACAGUUUAUUCUUUGUUAGCAAGGAGAUGCAAUGUUGUACCAGAUGGAGAUGCUGAAGAUCUCCCUGAGACCUCCAGAUGGAGAGUGGUCAAAAACCUAUGCGGAAGGACAUCAUUCUUUUUGGACACCACUUUAAUCACAAUUUCUAUGGGUGAAAAUAACAGCAUAUGGCACAAGAGAAUAAAGCACACAGCUGUUGAGGGAAAAAAUAUUCUGUCAAUACAAGCUAGGGUCCAUAAAUACUACCUAUUAAUUUAAUUUAAAGCGUACUCUUAAGGUCGCAGCCUUUAUGUAUCCCUAAAAAGCUUUCAGUGAUUUCUCCAGGCUAUAUGAAAAGAUUAUGAGUUACAGCUGCCAAUGUCUUCAAGCAAAGUGACUUAGAAAGAGAUGCUCCAUGGCAUCUUUACAGCAGGUGUCACACAGAAAGCAGCUUAAAAUGGGGAUGGUUUUAAACCUUGGAACUGUGAGCAAUGCCAAGUAGAGUGUGUUACUGAGAACUCGGAUGAACAGUCCACAAAAAAGUCCUAAGCAAAGAUCUGUUCGAUAAAGAUAUGGGUCAAACAAUGGGUCAUGUAACUGCUAGCAGUGAAAGAAUUCAUGUUUAAAUUAAAUCCCUCUGUGCAUGUGCAAUUAGGGAUUGGAAAAUGAAGCUUAAUUGUCUGAAUACAUUCAUUCCAAAUUUCUCACUUUGAUGCUUAUACCGGGGAGCUAAUAAGCUUGAAUUUUAACUUCAUGGACAAUUCUACAGAUCUCCUAUGCUAUUUUCUUCCAGACUGGGG
rnacentral:lncRNA from 1 species